rnacentral:rRNA from 1 species
AUUGAACGCUGGCGGCAGGCCUAACACAUGCAAGUCGAACGAGUGGCGGACGGGUGAGUAAUGUCUGGGAAACUGCCUGAUGGAGGGGGAUAACUACUGGAAACGGUAGCUAAUACCGCAUACCAUCAGAUGUGCCCAGAUGGGAUUAGCUUGUUGGUGGGGUAACGGCUCACCAAGGCGACGAUCCCUAGCUGGUCUGAGAGGAUGACCAGCCCCCCUGGAACUGAGAAACGGUCCAGACUCCUCCGGUAGGCAGCAUUAGGGAAUAUUCCACAAUGAUCGCAAGCCUGAUUCAGCCAUGCCGCGUGUAUGAAGAAUGCCUUAGGGUUAUAACGUACUUUCAGCUGGGAGGCGUUACCCGCAGAAGAAGCACCGGCUAACUCCGUGCCAGCAGCCGCGGUAAUAC